GGAGCUGAUGGGGAGUCCAGCAGAAUAAAGCUGCCAUGUUGGAGUCUGGGGAUCUGUGUUCUUCCAGGUUUAUUCACCUUCAGCUUCGUCUGCAUGCUUGGAUUCUACCUGUGCUCAGGUAAACCAGCUGGUUGUUGCUGUAAUCCAGAAAGACGGGACGCCAGCCUGAGGACCACCGAGGAAGAGUCGCUGCAUUACUCCAGUCUGAAGCUUCCACACAAGCCCCGCCCCUCUGGCAGGCCAGAGCCCCGACUGGUCGAAGAGAAUGUGACGUACUCAGCAGUGAUGAGUCGCAAGAACCUGAACCAAUCACACAACCACAAAUAGAAAGCCUUUUACUCACUGUUGUUGCACUGAUUUGAAUUUUAGUGUUUGGAUGUUUUGUUGUAAACGAUGAAGUUUGUUCACCUCCGGAGCUGUUUCUCUGGAGGUGAACAACCCCUAAAAUAGUAAUAACAAUGAUAAUAAUAUUCUAAACAUUAAUGGUUAAUUGUGAUUAAUGGAUGUAGUUGAAGUAGACGUCCUCUCACUGACUGUAUGAGCAUAAAUUAUUUAUCUACAUGUGAAUAUAUUAAUAAUAUACAUUAUUAUUGGACAUGUGAUACAGAACAUGACACGGAUACCUUUAAGUGGCUUUUAAUCACCAAAUUGUGCAC